GGACUGGCUCAUGCAGAGGCAGCGAAGAUCCACAGUGACUGUCUGCAGGCUGCAGAGCCAGGAGAAGUGCAAGCUAUUCAUCCUGAAGCUGGAAGCUGGUGAACAUACAGAGCCAAGGAUGUAGCUGAGGCUGAAAGCCUGAAAGCCCCAGGAAGGCCCACUGGGGCAAGUCUGUGUUCAAGACCUGAAGAGUCUGAAGGCAGUUGUCUACCAGCAACAGCAGCAUCAAAAACCACACCAGACCAAGAAGGAUCAAUGAACACAGUUGUGUUUGUGGCAAACCUUUAUCCCAACAUCCUGGAAGGCAGAGGCCAUGAGGAUCACCAAUUGGAGCAUAGCCUGGCAUGAGGCUGUGGAUCAGUGUGAAGGGCCUGGGUUCAAUUCCCAGUACCAGGAUGAAUGAAAUGAGAAAGAGAAAGACAAAGAACUAAUGACAGGAAAGAGAGAUAGGAAAGGAAGGAAGGAAGGGAAAGAAAGAAAGGGGAGGUAGAAGCAAGUAAGCAAGAGAGAAAGAAAGAAAGAGAGAGAGAGAAAGAAAGAAAGAAAGAAAGAAAGAAAGAAAGAAAGAAAGAAAGAAAGAAAGAAAGAAAGAAAGAAAAUGGGAAAGAGAGGUCAGUCAAGCUCAUCAGUGGUAGCUUUCCCCUGCUUGCAGAUUGGCGGUGGUGGUGGUAGCAGUUGUUCUUGCUCCAUUUGGGUCCUCCACCAUGUGUGGCCAUGUUCAGGGCAGGUCUUCCUCAUGUACUUUGCUGACCAGUUUUCUUCUGUGACACAGUUUUCUUCUGUGAAAACGCCUCAUAAAAACAUCCAAAAGUGUGCCUCGUGUUUCUGGCCAGGUAUUUCUCUGCGACCGUUUCUCAGGAAGCUCUCUGCAUGUCCCUCUUCAUCUCAGAAGCCAAUUCCAUGGAACCCGAUCUAAAACAGAUGGAGAUGACAUUCAUGUCGUUUAUAAACACUUAGCCAGAGUAAUCUGGAGGAUGUUUUCAGUAAUAAAUUCAGAGUCACACUUUGAACACGAAAACAAGUAUCUUUUCUUUAUUCCCUCGCCUAUUCUAAACAGAUUCUUCAGUAAUUUGAACAAGAUCUAGUCUGUAUUAUGUUAAAGAGAGUUUUAAAAAUAAACUCCACAUUAAUAAUUUGAAAGUCUAUUUUCUCAGUUUUGUAAUUUUUCCUUACUGAUACUGAUUGAUGAUACAACAUAAUUUCAAAUAUAAAAGAAUAUUCCAUUACUGUUGCUUCUUUAAUUAUCCUCACCCACAACUCCCAUCACCAUGAGAGCAGAGCUAUUGACUUACGAUUAUUUAUCUUACAGAAUAAGACUGAAUAUAUACUUGAUACAUAAUUGUUUGCUUUAACUGAUGAAUCACUGGCUCAAUUUACAUAAAAAAUCAAUUCCUUUGCACAUUUUUUCUUAAACUCAAACUUUAAAACUUUUUGACACAAAUUCACAUUAAUUCAACUUCUCCAAAAUGCGUAGCUUUAAUCCAUACAUUCUUGAAAAAACCCUUCACACAAAAACAAAAAAUAUCAUUAUCAAAUGCAUAUCUGUGGCUUAAAUUACAACUCAUACUUGUAGUAAAUUCUUUGUGGUAACAUCAUAUAUGCCAUAAAGUAACACAGGGCUGUGAUGAUAAUUAUGUGCUAUAAACGUGCUUUUGCAUGGGAACUCUGACCUGAUAUGUGAGGCUCACACCCUCUCUACUAUUGGCAUAGCAUCUACAAUUCCUGUUUGGUCGGGCUGAACCUCUUAUAAUGUCUUAAUUCACUUUUUAAAGUUUUUGUGGUGAAAGGAAGUCUUACUUUUAAAUUCUGAAUAUAUCCUACUUAAAUUGAAACAAAAGACAUUCUUUUACAAUUACUAACAUCUUUUAGAUAUUAAAACAGCAAGAUGUUUGACAUUCUGUUUUCAAGAGACUAUAAAUGAAAGUGUUACUGAAAAUAUAGAUAGCUUUACUUGUUUACAGAAACAUUUUUAUGCCUUUCUUUCUCUCUCACACAUACACAUACAAACACACUCACGGACUAUACUAUCUUAUAGUAUACAAUAGUUUACAAAUUUCUGGGGUUCAAAAUUUGAUAUUUUCAUAAUUAUUUGAAGUAUUUAUUAAACAAAUUUUAAUGUUGCAAAGAUUCUGGUUCAGAAAGAUGGUGUUAGGCUUGGGUUCAAUGAUUUUUCCCAAAACCUCUGAUUUUUGUCAGAAGGUAAUGGCCCUGUAAAGAAUUUGAUAUGAGUAUGUCUAUAUAAUUAUUUUUAUAACAGUGAAUAUACCAGCAGUGCCUAAUUUUAUGGUCCAACACAUUGCAGUAUGGGCUUCUUUCAUACUGAGAUCAUAGAGAUCAUAUAAUACAUCCUGAUAUUCUUUCUAUAUUGGGGCUUAAAGAAUGUUUUCCUUCUAGGAGUUUUUUAGAAAAAAAUAAAGUUUAGUUGUCAUUCUUCACUACUGAGCUGGAUAAUUUAAACAAAUUCCUUUUUUACUUGGUAAUUUCCUUAUUGGAUGAGUAACUGAUGACCUGGGGCCCUUACUGAGGGUAGGCACUUAGGACAGGAAAGAGAGAGAACAUCCUUUCAAAACAGCAGCAGAAAUAAAACUAUAGCAAUGCUGUAAGAACAAACUCAUAGGGAGGCGGAGCUGUAGAGUUGGC
ensembl:lncRNA